GGGGGCUGAUGGUGUGCAGCCUCCAGCCCAGGCUCUGCUCUCUGUAACCCACCAGAACAGCACCCAGAGUGAGGCUGAUGCCUCCCAGCCCAGUACCUCAGGGCUUUUGAGGUGGGGACUGUGGGCUUUUGGUGUGGAGUGGAGCUUAUGCUCCUGGCUGAAGGGGGGCUGGUGGCUGCAGGCUGGUGACCUUGGGCCCCAUGCACUCUGCUCCCCUUGCUUCCAGCCCUCUGAGCGCAGGAGGCCAAGUGCCUGACUUCUGCCUGGCUAUAAUACGCUGCUGGGAGGAUGUGCUCUCUGACCCUGCCCUCACCCUGCAGCCAUGAUCAGCCACCAGCUUCCCCUUCUGCCUUUGGGAGGCCCUACUGAUCCAGGCAGUAACAAAAAAGCAAAAACAGUAGAAACCAACCAUAGGUUGGAAUGAGCUCUUGAGUGUAAAGGGGUGGCCAUCGUCCAAGCAGCAGUCGGUAAGGGCCCCAAAGCAGCCAGCACAGCAAAGUGAUGAAACCCUUUGGUUUUUGGGUUUUGCUUUCGCAACAAUCACUUCCUUUACUGUGCUUGCUUGUGCAAAACAGCACACGCUUAAUGAGAGUGCACACAGGAGCAGUGAGAAAGCUCUUCAAAUACACAGCCAAAGCAAGGAGGGUGGACAGCAGCAUGCAUGCUUGAUGGUGUCCUUGGCAUGGGCGACAUACCGCCCUUCAGGACAUCACCCAGCUGCUGUGUUUGGAAGGGAGAGAGGAGCUGGAGUUGUUAAGUAAGGCUGAUGAUGGAAACAGGUCUCUGGGGGCUGAUGUUGAAGCUUGAGUUCAGGUGCCUGGUGUGGUACUGCUGGGAUUUAUGCCAUGCCAUGGAGCCAUGAUGGCAGGGGAAGGCCAACCACCUCCUGAGAGACCAGAGGCAGCUGGCAGAGGGCCAGGCCCUCACCUCAGAGCAGUGGGAUUUUACACUGCACCCACCCUUUGAGCAGCAUGGGCUUUGCAGAGCUCUAUCUCCUUUCCUUCAGGCAAGCUGUACUGCUGGCUCAUUACCCAGUCAGCAGGUUGUAAUGCAGGGCAGGUGUGAGCAGCAGCCUGGGUGCUGCAGCCACAUGGGUCCUCAGUCAAAGCUCAGUGGCUCUGCUUGUCUCACCUUUAUGCGAAGGUCGGGGUGAUUUGGGAAAAACCAUGAAUGAAAGGAUUGGAAAAUCAUACAAGGAAAUACCUUUCCAAGUGUUACAACAGCUACAGUUGUGGAAGGGCAACAAGAUUGGGAGAUGAAGUUUGGCUUGCUGAAUAACUUCAUGUUCUGAUGAACAAAGCUGAAGGCAAAGUAACAGCCAGCACAGGAGCACAGUGGCAGAGAUGAGGCUUGUGCCCCUCGGGGCUUGCACCGGGGGUCCUAAAAACAGCCACACUCUGACCAACUGAAGCUGGGACCACACCUAACCACAACCAAAGCACCACCUCCUGCCUCAGUCCCCCCAAAGCGCUUUGCACCCACAUCCCUGACCUGAAUGCUUUCACACGGUGGGAAGCACCCUCCUCCCUCCACAUCUGACUUCCUUCCCCCUUUGUCGAGGCUCUUCUCUAACCAAAAAAGGAAAUCCCAGGGAGAAGUCCGCCAGCUUCACCUGGGCAGGAUUGCUCUUCGAAGUCAGCUGCAGCCUGGAGGCGUCGGUUAUCAAUUGACUCCAGAAUGGGAGUUCCCUUUAUUUGUCAGGCAGCACCACUCCCACUGUGUCACUGGUUUUCUUAUCUCAGCCUGAACUUUGGACAGACACCAAGGUACAGAAAAGCUGUUUUUGUGGGGAUGAUUACUGCCUUGUAUGGAAGAGCCGUUUUUAUGGGGACGGUUACUCCCUUGUGCCAGGGUGGAAGCUGAGGAAGGAACCGGCCAGGAGCACCCGCUGAUGCCAGUUUAGUUUCCUUCCCUGAUAGGAUCUCACUGUGGUGGAUCAUAUCAGAAACCCUUGUGCCCUCCACACGGGUACCACGUUAGAGCACGUGAUCAAUGCUUGCCUUUGAUUAAAAGCUUCAAAUACACAGCACAGCCAAAAAAGCAGAGACGCUGCGUUAGGCCAGGGAGCAGUAUUUCCCUGGUAGUGCUCUGCUGAAAAGCAGCAGUCCGAGCAGCUGUCCCUACAUACCUGGCAGAAGGGGCGGCCUUUAACUUCCUGGGGCCGCCUACUGGAAGCUCUCAGUUCUGACAGGAGAAGCAGCACUGAGUAACUGACACAGGCCGCCAAUGUGAGAUGCUUCCCAUGAAGCUCCGUCCCUGUGGCCAUCUGGGCCCAGAGCCCAGAAGGAAGGGAGCAGAUGCCAUUGUGGAACCCAUGACUGCCACAGGCUGCUACGCACUCAGCCGUCGAGGUGUGCAAGGCCAAGGAGGACACCAAGGAGGACAUGAGCGCUCUGCAGAGAAAUGGACAUGCUUUUCUCCCCCCUUUCUCCUUCCAGCCUCUUUUCCCCCCACUGCAAGCUGGAGAGGAAUCAGUCACUGACCCAGGGGAAGGAAACCCCAUUUAUUUAAGCUAUUCAAGUUUGGCACACACAGAACAUAGCACAGUAACGCACUGGAGGCUAAGGGUUUUGUUUUUUUUCUUUUUUUUUUUUUCUCUACAGACAUACAGGAAAACUCUAUGCAACUUCCAUGUACACAUUACACAAAGGAAACAGCUUUAAUCAACCACUGGUGAAACAUGGAAGCUUUUAAGAUCUCUGUAGCUGGCACAGGAAUGUUCUCUACCCCCCCCCCCCCCCCCCCCAUACAAAAGGCAUUUCAGGUCAAACUUUCUAGUAGGUGAUAUUUCCAUGCAUUUCUACAGAAUUAAAGAAGCUAACAGACAAAAAGCCCAGAUCAAGCCAUAUUAGUCAGGCUGAUUGGUUCUACUAAGUUAAAUCAAUAAUAAUUACGGACAAAUGGACCAAGUGACCAAAGAGUGGGGCUGAGAACACCACUUGUGAUCUUUUGCUGUUUUUCCAAGUGGUUCUUUCUCAUGGUACUGCCCAGAACUGGAGAGCUCCAACGGAAGGAUCUACACUUGUCAAAGCCUCAGAAGCGUCUGAUCCGCUACUAAGUGUGUUAGUGGAAAUAAGGUGGUCCUAAGUUAACCUAUGCCAAAAGAAAAGCAAUUUUAAUAGAAUCGUUCAGCCUUGGAGGAGACCUCGAGACACUUCAUAACCAAUGUUAACCUGUAGGAACAAGCAAACCUUUAAAGAUUACUGCACGCUGAGUUUACAAGGAUGAUUAGGACUUUCUCCAGGAAAGCGUACCUACUUUAAUCUCUAUUUUAACCUCCUGAUUAACCCUUAUUAGUAACGCCGGGCAACUGCAAGCACUAAGAAUUUAGCUCUGUUUAGGUGCCUAACUUGAACUACAGGUUUUAAGUCUUGCAUUCAACGGUUCGAGGGGAAAGUUUUGAGUUUGGCAAUUUGGCCAGUAGCCUCAGAAAGACUGAUGAUUUUGCUCAUUUUAAUUUAGAAGAGAACAGGAACCACAUUGUUCUCAUCAACCCCCCCCUUCAUCCCACGAUACACUGCUGAAUCAGAAUUUUUGGAGACCUUUAGUGUUAAUUCAUCGGGGAUAGUACUGGGAUAGACAACCAAUGCAAAUAUUAAUACACCAAGAUAAAUCCUUAAUUUGAUUUAUUUAAGGUCAUUUAUACAUAGGAGCUACAUCUCCAAAAUCUACUUUAUUCUAUAAGACAACUUCCCUACAGUUAGUGAACCCAUUGCCUAGGAUGGUUGCUUUACAUAACUGAUAUAUUAAAACAUGGAAUGCUUGUAGAGUUGUGGCACUGUAUGACAUCUACACAGGACUUCCUUCAAAAGCUACGACUAGGGAGCCUCCUAGCUUCUCAGCAAUACAAGCUCGAUUGAGGUCCUCUGGCCCAUUUGCUUGGCAUUCAUGCUUUAUGCCUUGGAACUUCUUUUUGAUUGCAUCCUUGGAGCUUGCAUAGAUCAUCUUACUUUUGAGAGGUGCUUGUUCUGGUGCCCACAAGAAGAACAUCAGCUCUUCUUUUUUGGAUUCCUUGGUCUCAAAACUUGCAUCAUACAAGGCAUAACGGCAAUCCUUCUCGGGAAGCAUCUGCACAAAGUGCUUGAAAGGGUCAGUAACCGUCACACCAACAUCUCCCACUAGAAUCUCUUUGCCUUCUUCCACGAUAAUGCACUUUUUGUCUGGACUGAGGCAGAAGAUGACAGCCUUCUUCCUCUUCUUCACUUCCUCAGGCGUAGAGCAUUUCCGCACUUUCAUGUCGUAGAAGAUACGGCAUACCUCAUCGGCAACUUGUACUCCAGAUGCCAUGGUGUCGGCGGAGCGGCGGCUGCUGCUUCCCUCGGGUGCUGGGCGCGGCGCGGGCUCCGGCAGCAGGAAGGGAAGCGGCGAGGGCGCGAGCCGAGCGGAAACGCUGCCGACGUCACGGCCGCCGUGCCCGGCGGAGGAAGCGGUUGUUAUGGUGGGACCCUGCGUGGCAACGCCCCGGCCCGCUCCCCUUUCCAGACUCGCGCAUGCGCGCACCCGCAAACACCACCCACACACCGCCCGCACCGGGGGGAGCGCUCC
rnacentral:lncRNA from 1 species